rnacentral:tRNA from 3 species
GCAGGGAUCGCCGAGCCUGGUCAAAGGCGCUGGACUUAAGAUCCAGUCUCGUAGGAGUUCGAGGGUUCAAAUCCCUUUCCCUGCA